GUUUGAACUUGGCAUCAGAAAAAGACACUAGGCGAGAGAGAUGUGGGGAUUUUUGCAAAGCACGUUAGAAGUGGAAGGCUAGAUCGGGGACAUUAGAGGGGGAUUCCCUAGCAUGAGUCACCCUUACUCUCCACCAAGUGGCUUCUUUGUCCUAAGCCUCUGGCAGGGUGCUGCUGUGAUAUAUGGAGAAUGGAAGCUGAAGAUCUACCAGCCCCUGUCCUCAGCUGAGAAAAAUUGAUGCGAAUACUGGGUCCCCUUCCUGCCCAGUACAAGGAAGAAGAGUUACUGGAGAGAAGCCUAUUCUCCAUUCCCAUGCCUCCAGCCAAAAGCAGCUGCUGCUCACACUCUGCUGCCUUCAUGGUCACUCUCCUGGUUACAAUUCCAUCCCAACUGCUUGAUAUUUUUAAAAAGGAAAAGAUGGAGGCUGCCAAAUCUGGAUUUGUGUGGUUACUAAGGGUAGUUUGAGGCAAGACUCGGCCUGUUUAAAGAAAUGGGAGACAUUCUCCCUUUUCACCAUGAGCUAGAUAGGUCUUUGAUCCCCAUGAGGUCUCCAUAAGAUCCCAUAGAAUGCAAAACUGAAGUUCUUUUUGUGGUGGCCAAGAACUGAAAAUUGAGGGGAUGCCCAUCAAUUGGGGAAUGGCUGAGCAAGAUGUGGCAUAUGAAUGUAAUGGAAUACCAUUGUGGCUAUAAGAAAUGAUAAGCAGGAUGCUUUCAGAAAAAUCUGGACUUAACAUGAAUUGAUGCUGAGUGAAGUGAACAGAACCAGGAGAACAUUGUACACAGUAACGGCAACAUUGUGUGAUGACCAACUUGAAUAGACUUAACUCUUCUCAGCAAUACAAGGAUCUAAGACAAUUCCAAAAGACCCAUGAUGGAAAAUGCUCUCCACAACCAGAGAAAGAACUAUGGUGUUUGAAUGCAGAUGAAAGCAUGCUAUUUUUUUUUUUGCUUCUUUCUCAUGGUUUUUCCCUUUGGUUCUUCUUUACAACAUGACUAAUGUGGAAAUAUAUUUAAUAUGAUUGUACAUGUAUAGCCUAUAUCAGAUUGCAUGCCGUCUUUGGGAGGGAGAGAAAAUUUAAAACUCAAAAUCUUUUAGAAGUGAAUGUUGAAAACUAAAAACAAAUAAAUAAAAUUUGAAAAAAGAAUGCA
rnacentral:lncRNA from 1 species